CAUGUAGGCGGUUUUUUAAGUCCGGAGUGGAAAUGCGGGGCUCAACCCCGUAUGGCUCUGGAUACUGGAAGACUUGAGUGCAGGAGAGGAAAGGGGAAUUCCCAGUGUAGCGGUGAAAUGCGUAGAUAUUGGGAGGAACACCAGUGGCGAAGGCGCCUUUCUGGACUGUGUCUGACGCUGAGAUGCGAAAGCCAGGGUAGCGAACG
rnacentral:rRNA from 1 species